rfam:Felis catus isolate Cinnamon breed Abyssinian chromosome B2, whole genome shotgun sequence.
GCCUGGGUGGCUCGGUUGGUUAAGCAUCUGACUUUGGCUUAAGUCAUGAUCUCACAGUUUGUGGGUUCAAGUCCCACAUCAGGCU